rnacentral:rRNA from 1 species
UACGUAGGCAGCAAGCGUUGUUCGGAAUUACUGGGCGUAAAGAGUGUGUAGGCGGUGUUCUAAGUCUGUUGUGAAAUCUCCCGGCUUAACUGGGAGGGUGCGGCGGAAACUGGAAUGCUAGAGGAUGGGAGAGGUAAGCGGAAUUCCUGGUGUAGCGGUGAAAUGCGUAGAUAUCAGGAGGAACACCUGUGGUGUAGACAACUUACUGGACCAUUUCUGACGCUGAGACACGAAAGCGUGGGUAGCAAACAGG